rnacentral:lncRNA from 1 species
CUAUUCACUUUUUCUUUGGUUAUUUUUUUCAAUAGCUAUUGGAAUUAGAUACGGGAAAUACUGUGGAGUAGGAUGGAGUGGAUGUCCAGGGGAGAAACCUUGUGAUGAUCUAGACGCUUGCUGUAAGAUUCACGAUGAUUGUGUAGAAAAAAAUAACCAAAGAAAAAGAUACGGGAAAUACUGUGGAGUAGGAUGGAGUGGAUGUCCAGGGGAGAAACCUUGUGAUGAUCUAGACGCUUGCUGUAAGAUUCACGAUGAUUGUGUAGAAAAAAAUGGUACUGUUUAUUUUCAUUUUUGUUGAUUUCUCAUGUUAAUACUAUAAAGUUUGUUUCUUUAUACUGUACUAAUUUGUUUAUAUCCUUUCUUUGAGAUUUGGUUACUACUUUGAGCUUGACUACGGCUUCUCUGUUUUCAUUAGCUUGAAUAUGAGAGUGAAACCUUAUAUAGUUGAAAAUCCGUUGGAGUAUACAUUGUAGCAGAAGUUGACAUGUUGACGUUGAAGCUUUGAUUUUAUUAGCUGAUUUGGACCU